AACCGAGAACUCCUACGGGAGGCAGCAGUGGGGAAUAUUGCGCAAUGGGGGAAACCCUGACGCAGCAACGCCGCGUGAAUGAAGAAGGCCUUAGGGUUGUAAAGUUCUGUUUUCUGGGACGAUAAUGACGGUACCAGAGGAGGAAGCCACGGCUAACUACGUGCCAGCAGCCGCUGUAAUACGUAGGUGGCAAGCGUUGUCCGGAUUUACUGGGCGUAAAGGAUGCGUAGGCGGAUGUUUAAGUGAGAUGUGAAAUACCCGAGCUCAACUUGGGUGCUGCAUUUCAAACUGGAUAUCUAGAGUGCAGGGGAGGAAAGCGGAAUUCCUAGUGUAGCGGUGAAAUGCGUAGAGAUUAGGAAGAACACCAGUGGCGAAGGCGGCUUUCUGGGCUGUAACUGACGCUGAGGCAUGAAAGCGUGGGGAGCAAACAGGAUUAGAUACCCUGGUAGUCCGACUGAGA
rnacentral:rRNA from 1 species